rnacentral:lncRNA from 1 species
GUCUGGUAUUUUUGAUGGUCUAAAAUCCCCGAUUCUUCAAAAACAAUCAUAAAAAUUCCAAAAGACUCAACUAGAUGCCAUGCUUGCCUGUCUCCAUGCACUAAUGAGAGGAUCUCCUAAGGUUUCCGACGUUCUUCCUGCCCUGCCUGGUUCAAGGCCACCUGAAAACUAUACACCGAGCCCAGGCAGAAGCACCUGGAUUUCCACUGAGGUCUCCAAGAUGGUCAAUGGCGAACAUUUUCUACACUUUAAUGGCAGCAUAGCAAAGAAGACGUCUAAGGAAUUUUACUCAUCAGUGUGGAGUAAUGGGCAGGCGUAUUGAAAUGGUCUCUGGAGUAAUGGGCAGGCAUAUUGAAAUGGUC